ensembl:lincRNA
AGUGGGACAAAGACCGGAAUGGGUUAGACUUGGACGCUGUGGGGGUAAGUUCCUUGACACCAGCAUUUUGGAUUAUUCAGGAAAUGCCUCUGAGGCUUGGCUUUCCUCUGUGUUGUCCUUGGAAGGUCAGGAAGCUUGAGAAAGAGAUGGGGCUCCUGAGCGCUAUUCCUAACGCUUCAGGGGGGCCAGAGUCCACCCCCAGGGGAUGCGUUUAAGAUCUCAAGCUCCCCUGGGAGUAGGGAGAGGUCUAGGCAGAAGGGUAAUUACUGUCCUCAGACAGAAUGGGGUUAUGCUUAAUUAACAGUUGGUUUUCUCCUAAGGGGCCGGCACUUGCACAAGUUUUUAAAGGAUAAGGAGGAAGAAACAGCUAUUUCUGAGUCUAGGAGGGAGGUCUGAAGGCUUUCUGGGGCUUACCAUUUUACAAGAGGCUGUGAGGCUAAACCAAAAGAGACCAGCGCUCUGUUGAACUCUGACCUCUGCUCUUCUGCCCACAUGCCUGGGGAAGGACAAAGCGGCUAUUUCUCAAGAGUUCAUCACAUCUGCGGCCUGCUGACUUGUGUGCUUUUCACCUGCCGCUGUUCUGGAUCUUUGGGCUCAUCCAUUGUUGAUAGACCUCAUGUCCUUCAUCAAUUUGAAAAUUAUAUUUACUGGACACCUACUAAUGCAAAGCGCUAUAACCAAUGCCAAUAUGACAUGAGGAGGACUUUUCAACUCUGCCUUCCCAUCACCCAAGAGUUGGCAGGAUUUAGCAAGGACAAGGCAGCAGGUGUGCCAAGAAGCUUGAUACAAGGAGCUCAUGCCCUUGGGCAUCUCAGUGCUGGAUGGGGCCUCCAAAUGCUCUAAUUCAACUGUGAGCACCCACUGUGUGUCUGGCACUGUAGUAAGACACUGCAGGAGACACCAAGGCUCCUGUCCUCGAGGAGCUGAUCAUCUAGUAGAGAAACUGGAAUGAGACAAGUACAAGCUAAAGGAAAUGUCACAAGGAAACAGAGGGAAUGUGCAUGAGGUUUCAAAGGAAGGAAAGGGUAUAUCAGGUUGGAGAUAUUAGGAAGGCUUUCUCCAUUCAUUUGCUCAAUAAAGUUUUAUUUGGCACCUACUAUAUGCCAGGCACUGAGCAAGCUCUUAGGAACUGUAACAGUUUGAUAUAAUUGUUGAAUUCAAAAAAGAAAUAUUGGAUUAUGCUUAUAAUCUAAUCUAUACCUAGGCAUGACUGAGUUAUAAUUAGGGUGUUGAGAUAAAAGAAACGCCAAAGAACAGAGUUGAGGGCUUUUAAUGUUGGAGUUUUGACUUUGGAAUUUGAUGCUGAAGACUUAAACUGGAGCGCUGGGAAGUCAGCACGCAGAGGAAAGAGAUGCCAGCCACCAGAAGGAAGGAACCUUGAAGCCAGAGAUUAGCAAGCCCUAGGAACGUAGGAACCCAGGAAACCUGAACCUUCGCAGAUGUCAGCAGGCAUCUUGCUCCAGAUAGACUUUGGUGAGGGAAGUAACUUAUGCUUUAUGGCCUAGUAUCUGCAAGCUCCUACCCCAAAUAAAUACCCUUUAUAAAAACCAACCAAUUUCUGGUAUUUUACAUCAACACCUCUUUCGCUGACUAAUACAGGAACAAAAAAUAAAUGAGUCAAUAUUCCUAAUUCCAAAGACUUCACAAUAAAAUGGGAGGGACAUACGUGCAAACAAACUAUAUCAUUCAUUCAUUUAUUCAA